rnacentral:rRNA from 1 species
CCUACGGGUGGCUGCAGUAAGGAAUAUUGGUCAAUGGACGAAAGUCUGAACCAGCCAUGCCGCGUGGAGGAUGAAGGUCCUCUGGAUUGUAAACUUCUUUUAUAUGGGACGAGAAAAGGCUUUUCUAAGUCGUCUGACGGUACCAUAUGAAUAAGCACCGGCUAACUCCGUGCCAGCAGCCGCGGGAAUACGGAGGGUGCAAGCGUCAUCGGGAUUCACUGGGUUGUAGGUGGGUUGGUAAGGGUGUGGUGAAAUCCCCGAGCUUAACUUGGGAACUGCCAUUGAUACUAUCAGUCUUGAAAACCGUGGAGGUCAGCGGAAUAUGUCAUGUAGCGGUGAAAUGCUUAGAUAUGACAUAGAACACCAAUUGCGAAGGCAGCUGGCUACCCGAAUAUUGACACUGAGGCACGAAAGCGUGGGGAUCAAACAGGAUUAGAUACCCCUGUAGUC